UACGUAGGGACCAAGCGUUGUUCGGAUUUACUGGGCGUAAAGCGCACGUAGGCGGAUAUUUAAGUCAGGGGUGAAAUCCCGGGGCUCAACCCCGGAACUGCCUUUGAUACUGGGUAUCUGGAGGUCGAGAGAGGCGAGUGGAAUUCCGAGUGUAGAGGUGAAAUUCGUAGAUAUUCGGAGGAACACCAGUGGCGAAGGCGGCUCGCUGGCUCGAUACUGACGCUGAGGUGCGAAAGCGUGGGGAGCAAACAGG
rnacentral:rRNA from 1 species